rnacentral:lncRNA from 1 species
AUAUGGGGCAGGAUAUAUGGGAUGGGAUGUGUGGGGAGGGAUAUAUGGGAUGGGAUAUAUGGGGCAGGAUGUGUGGGGUGGGAUGUGUGGGGCAGGAUAUAUGGGGCAGGAUGUGUGGGGUGGGAUGUGUGGGGCGGGAUAUAUGGGGCAGGAUGUGUGGAGCAGGAUGUGUGGGGCAGGAUAUAUGGGGCAGGAUAUAUGGGGUGGGAUAUAUGGGGCGGGAUAUGUGGGGCGGGAUGUGUGGGGUGGGGUGGCUGUGUGGGUGAUGCUGUUUUUCCCCUACAGGACGGGAAUGGAAACCAGGUGCUGCCCCGCGUGUCACAGGAGGAGGUGAAUCAGCGCCUGAACAACCUCUACAGCCUCCUGCUGGAGCUGCAGGUCUGUGGGGCGGCGCUGUGGGGCGCCGUGGGGUGCUGUUAUGGGGCUGACGCUAUGGGGCGCUCUGGGCAGCGCUAUGGGGCGCUGUGGGGUGGCUCUGUGCUCUGGGGCGCUAUGGGGCGGCUCUCUGCGCUAUGGGGCGCUACGGGGUGGCACUAUAUGGGGUGGUAAUAUAUGGGGCACUAUGGGGUGGCUCUAUGUGCUAUGGGGCACUAUGGGGCGGCUCUCCACGCUAUGGGGCGCUAUGGGGCCGCUCUCCGUGCUAUGGGGUGGCUCUGCGCUAUGGGGCGCUAUGGGGCAGCUCUGUGCGCUAUGGGGCACUAUGGGUGGCUCUCUGCGCUAUGGGGUGCUAUGGGGCGGCUCUGUGCUCUAUGGGACGCUAUGGGGCGGCUCUGGGGCGCUAUGGGGUGGGCCUGCGCUAUAGGGUGCUAUGGGGCGGCUCUGUGCGCUAUGGGGCGCUAUGGGGUGCUAUGGGGCCGCUCUCCACGCUAUGGGGCGCUAUGGGGCAGCUCUGUGCGCUAUGGGGCGCUAUGGGGCGCUAUGGGGCAGCUCCGUGCGCUAUGGGGCGCUAUGGGGCAGCUCUAUGCGCUAUGGGGCGCUACGGGGCCGCUCCGUGCGCUAUGGGGCGCUAUGGGGCUGCUCUCCGCGCUAUGAGGCAGCUCU